rnacentral:misc_RNA from 1 species
GAUGAAGAACGUAGUGAAAUGUGAUAAGUAAUGUGAAUUGCAGAAUUCAGUGAAUCAUCGAAUCUUUGAACGCACAUUGCGCCCGCCAGUAUUCUGGCGGGCAUGCCUGUUCGAGCGUCAUUACAACCCUCAGGCCCCCGGGCCUGGCGUUGGGGAUCGGCGGAGCCCCCCGUGGGCACACGCCGUCCCCCAAAUGCAGUGGCGGUCCCGCCGCAGCUUCCAUCGCGUAGUAGCUAACACCUCGCGACUGGAGAGCGGCGCGGCCACGCCGUAAAACACCCAACUCUUCUGAAGUUGACCUCGAAUCAGGUAGGAAUACCCGCUGAACUUAAGCAUAUCAAUAAGCGGAGGA